AUUGAACGCUGGCGGCAUGCUUUACACAUGCCAGUCGAACGGCAGCGCGGGCUUCGGCCUGGCGGCGAGUGGCGCACGGGUGAGUAAUACAUCGGAACGUGCCCAGUAGUGGGGGAUAGCUCGGCGAAAGCCGGAUUAAUACCGCAUACGACCUGAGGGUGAGGGCGGGGGAUCUUCGGACCUCGCGCUAUUGGAGCGGCCGAUGGCAGAUUAGCUAGCUGGUGGGGUAAAGGCCUACCAAGGCGACGAUAUGUAGCUGGUCUGAGAGGACGGCCAGCCACACUGGGACUGAGACACGGCCAAGCCUCCUACGGGAGGCAGCAGUGGCGAAUUUUGGACAAUGGGCGAAAGCCUGAUCCAGCAAUGCCGCGUGUGUGAUGAAGGCCUUCGGGUUGUAAAGCACUUUUGGCGGGAACGAAAAGGACUGUGCCAAUACCACGGUUCGAUGACGGUACCCGCAGAAUAAGCACCGGCUAACUACGUG
rnacentral:rRNA from 1 species